AGGGAAUUUGGUUAAAAGCCAAAACUGUACCAGCAACUGUAUUGGGAAUUAAGUAUUGUAUAACCAUCAGAAUUAAUUUUUUGAAAAGAAUACAUUUAAGAUGAACCAAAGUCAGAAUACCU
rnacentral:ncRNA from 2 species